CAGCAGCCGCCGCGGUAAUACGAAGGGUGCAAGCGUUAAUCGGAAUUACUGGGCGUAAAGCGUGCGUAGGCGGUUUGUUAAGUCUGUUGUGAAAUCCCCGGGCUCAACCUGGGAAUGGCAAUGGAUACUGGCAAGCUAGAGUGUGUCAGAGGAUGGUGGAAUUCCCGGUGUAGCGGUGAAAUGCGUAGAGAUCGGGAGGAACAUCAGUGGCGAAGGCGGCCAUCUGGGACAACACUGACGCUGAGGCACGAAAGCGUGGGGAGCAAACAGGAUUAGAUACCCCCGUAGUCCCUGUCUCUUAUAC
rnacentral:rRNA from 1 species